AUAUAAUUAAGCGGAGGAAAAGAAACCAACAGGGAUUCUCAGAGUAGUGGCGAACGAAAUGGGAUCAGCCCAAGAUGUGAAUCCAGUUUCGGCUGGAAUUGUGCAUCAUGUUGGUGCCAGCAACAGCUUCUAGAUAAGAUGUCAGGAAAGAUAUGCCAGAGACGGUGAUAGCCCGGUCUGUGCUAGAAGUCUGGAGCGUACGGUGCCAGCAGAAUGAGUCACGCUCUUUGGGAGUAGAGCGCAAAAUGGGUGGUAACCUCCAUCCAAGGCUAAAUAUUGACGAGAGACCGAUAGCGCACAAGUA
rnacentral:rRNA from 1 species